UGCAUAUUCAGUGGGUUUUGUCUUGGUUUUGGUUGUGGUGUAAGAUUAUCGUUUGAGCAUUUGGGUUUGAAAGCGAAGCAUCUUCAAUCCAGAGAGCUCCUUGAAUGGCAGAAGAAGCAUACAAUAGCAGCAGUGACAUGAAAGGUCUUCCCAAAGUGCUGGUUCUGGGUCCUCCAUUGUCCUUCUCAUCACUUCAACCUCUCUACUCUCACAAAUUCCAUUUUCUCAAACCUCACCUCUCAGAUCUCUCGCUUCAACACUUCCUUCAAAUCCACCACCCUCCCUCUAUUGCCGCUAUUCUCUGCUCCCCCAACUACUCCGUCACCGCUGAAGUCCUCCGCCUCCUCCCGUCGCUCCGCCUCCUCGUCACUACCAGCAUCGGAACAGAUCACAUCGACCUCCGUGAGUGUCGCCGCCGCGGAAUCCAGGUCACCAGCGCCGGAGCUAUUUUCUCGGAGGAUGUGGCAGAUAUGGCCGUGGCUCUGCUCAUCGACGGAAUGAGGAAAAUCUCGGCGGCAGAUCGGUGGUUAAGAACGCAGAAUCGCCACAAUACGCCCUGGCAUUUAUUCCCGUUAGGGUCCAAGUUAUCAGGGAAGCAAGUUGGGAUUGUUGGAUUGGGAAGGAUUGGCAUGGAAGUGGCGAAAAGGCUUGAGCCUUUUGGUUGCAUAAUCUCAUACAACUCUAAGCAUAAAAAAACUACAGUUUCAUAUCCUUUCUAUCCCACUGUUGUUGAGCUUGCAACUAAUUGCGGCGUUCUUGUGCUCUGUUGUGAACUAAAUGAGCAAACAAAACACAUAAUUAACAGGGAAGUGAUGUUGGCAUUAGGAAAAGGAGGAUUUAUUGUGAAUAUUGGAAGAGGGGGUCUUAUUGAUGAAAAGGAAUUGGUAAAGUGUUUGAUGGAAGGUGAAAUUGGAGGUGCUGGUUUGGAUGUGUUUGAGAACGAGCCUCGUGUUCCUCAAGAGCUCUUUGAAAUGAAUAAUGUGGUUUUGUCUCCACAUGCUGCUGCUAUUACUGAGGAAUCUUUCAUGAAUAUGUGUGAAGUUGCUGGAGGGAAUUUAGAGGCAUUUUUCUCAAAUAAGCCCCUAAUCUCUCCAGUUACGUUGCCUGAAUAACUUGUUCUUUUGACAACAUAAUAUCGUCCUGUAGAAUUUGAUUUCAUUCCUUCAAUGAUUCUUGAGUCGGAAAUGGCAUAGUUCUAUUUCCAGAACCAUACCAGUGAAGUGCCUUUCAUACUUUCUGCAUUAAAGGAAGGAGGUGAACAAAACUCUAUUUGGGUUUUUUAACAAUGGGGCAACCUUGCUCGUUAUUUAUAAAAAUGGGAUUGUUGACUAAUAUAUCACAUCACAGGGCAAGUCCACUUCUAAAUUAAAGUCACAGUGAAUGAGGACGAUUUCUUCAUUAAAUUCAAAAAAGGUGAAGUCGUCAUUUAUACAACUUCAAUUUUAUUUAUUUUGUUUUA